AACCUCCGCAAUGUGAGAAAUCGCGACGGGGGGAUCCCAAGUGCCAUUCUUAACGGGAUGGCUUUUCAUUAGUGUAAAGAGCUUUUGGAAUAAGAGCUGGGCAAGACCGGUGCCAGCCGCCGCGGUAACACCGGCAGCUCGAGUGGUAGCUGUUUUUAUUGGGCCUAAAGCGUCCGUAGCCGGUUUAAUAAGUCUCUGGUGAAAUCCUGCAGCUUAACUGUGGGAAUUGCUGGAGAUACUAUUAGACUUGAGACCGGGAGAGGUUAGAGGUACUCCCAGGGUAGAGGUGAAAUUCUGUAAUCCUGGGAGGACCGCCUGUUGCGAAGGCGUCUAACUGGAACGGUUCUGACGGUGAGGGACGAAAGUUAGGGGCGCGAACCGGAUUAGAUACCCGGGUAGUCCUAACUGUAAACGAUGCGGACUUGGUGUUGGGGUGGCUUUGAGCUGCUUCAGUGCCGAAGGGAAGCUGUUAAGUCCGCCGCUGGGAAGUACGGUCGCAAGACUGAAACUUAAAGGAAUU
rnacentral:rRNA from 1 species